CCCUCAACAUUCAUGUGCUCAUAUCUUUAGGCCUUCAGUUGUCCUCAUUACCUGAAAUAUUCUUUCCCCAUCUGCUUAAUGAACUCCUACUUAUUCUUCAAGGGCUACCCCCACUGUCUUUUUCUUUGUAGCUUUCUCUGCUACUGCCCCACUCCAAGUAGAAUUAAUCACUUCAUUCUACUCUCCUGCAACACUUUCCACAACCUCCAGUCUGCAUUAUAUUUAAUUAGUAAGUUUAGAUGUCUAUUUUCCUUGAUAAACUGUGAGAUACUGAAGAGUAAGGAUGAUUUCUAUUCAUUGCCUUAUCUUCAGCUUGAGUAUUUCUGUGCCAAACACCAAGUCAAAAAGAAAAGUUGCUGCCUCUGAGGAGCCCACAUAAUGACCGUCUAAAAACACGGGCACAUUGCAAAGUCAGGAGGGCUGUAAAGAGCUAUGGUGGGAAGACGUGGGAAGACAAUCUCUUCAGGAGGAAAUCAGGAAGUGGCACCAUGUAGCUGACAUUUGAGGUAGGCCUUGAAACUGAAUUAAAAUCAAAAGGCUGCCUGGGGGAAAUCUAUGGAAUCAGAGCUAAAAGGUCUCAGAAGAGAACUGCUAAAUAAGAGGAACAUUUGGUCAUGUCUGGUCAAUCUUUUCCCUCCCUACUGCUGGAGAUUCCCUACUCAAGUUAUUCCAAGUUCUCUUUUUACUUUGCCCAAAGCCACUCAAUCUUCCCAAUUACAUCAAUUAUUUAUAUCAAAAAGCACCUAUCCUUUGGCCCUGGCCAGGUGCCUCAGUUGGUUGGAGCAUUGUCCCAUACACCAAAAGGUUGUAGGUUCAGUUUUGUUGCAGGUUCGAUUCCCAGUCAGGGUACAUACCUGGGUUG